rnacentral:tRNA from 1 species
UGACCACUGGGCGGAUCGAACACCUAACCUUUCUAUCUGGAGUCGAGCGCGCUACCAUUGCGCCAAUCGAUC